rnacentral:rRNA from 1 species
AGUGAACGCUGGCGGUAGGCCUAACACAUGCAAGUCGAACGGCAGCACAGUAAGAGCUUGCUCUUACGUGUGGCGAGUGGCGGACGGGUGAGGAAUACAUCGGACUCUACUUUUUCGUGGGGGAUAACGUAGGGAAACUUACGCUAAUACCGCAUACGACCUAAGGUUGCAUGCAGGGGAUCUUCGGACCUUGCGCGAUAGAAUGAGCCGAGGUCGGAUUAGCUAGUUGGCGGGGUAAAGGCCCACCAAGGCGACGAUCCGUAGCUGGUCUGAGAGGAUGAGCAGCUACACUGGAACUGAGACACGGUCCAGACUCCUACGGGAGGCAGCAGUGGGGAAUAUUGUACAAUGGGCGCAAGCCUGAUCCAGCCAUGCCGAGUGGGUGAAGAAGGCCUUCGGGUUGUAAAGCCAUUUUGUUGGGAAAGAAAAGCAGCAGGUUAAUACCCCGAUGUUCUGACGGUACCCAAAGAAUAAGCACCGGCUAACUUCGUG